rnacentral:tRNA from 1 species
AGUGGUAUAGCUCAGUGGUUGAGCGCAUGCCUAGCAUGCGCGAGGUCUUGGGUUCAAUCCCCAGGACCUCUG